rnacentral:rRNA from 1 species
GAUGAACGCUGGCGGCGUGCCUAAUACAUGCAAGUCGAGCGAACAGACGAGGAGCUUGCUCCUCUGACGUUAGCGGCGGACGGGUGAGUAACACGUGGAUAACCGACCUAUAAGACUGGGAUAACUUCGGGAAACCGGAGCUAAUACCGGAUAAUAUAUUGAACCGCAUGGUUCAAUAGUGAAAGACGGUUUUGCUGUCACUUAUAGAUGGAUCCGCGCCGCAUUAGCUAGUUGGUAAGGUAACGGCUUACCAAGGCAACGAUGCGUAGCCGACCUGAGAGGGUGAUCGGCCACACUGGAACUGAGACACGGUCCAGACUCCUACGGGAGGCAGCAGUAGGGAAUAUUCCGCAAUGGGCGAAAGCCUGACGGAGCAACGCCGCGUGAGUGAUGAAGGUCUUCGGAUCGUAAAACUCUGUUAUUAGGGAAGAACAAAUGUGUAAGUAACUAUGCACGUCUUGACGGUUCCUAAUCAGAAAGCCACGGCUAACUACGUG